ACGACUGGGCAUUGCCCCCAGUUUCCCCCAAAUUUGGGCAUUGUCCCUGGGUCUUCUAACGGACUGGGCGUUGCCCCGGGACAUUGGGGACUGCCCCCGGGGUCUUGCUCACCUUCAGCAG
rnacentral:other from 9 species